GUCCCAAAAUUCUUGUCUUAGAUUAGUCUAGAUACGGAUGUAUCUAAUACCAAAACGUGACUUGAUACAUCCGUAUUUAGACAAAUCUAAGACAAGAAUUUUGGGAC
rnacentral:pre_miRNA from 1 species